rnacentral:rRNA from 1 species
GAACCGUACAAACGUUUAUUCGGAAUCACUGGGCUUAAAGGGUACGUAGGCGGCGAGGAAAGUUGGAUGUGAAAUCCCUCGGCUCAACCGAGGAACUGCGUCCAAAACUUACUUUGCUUGAGGGAGACAGAGGUGAGCGGAACUCAGGGUGGAGCGGUGAAAUGCGUUGAUAUCCUGGGGAACACCGGUGGCGAAGGCGGCUCACUGGGUCUCUUCUGACGCUGAGGUACGAAAGCUAGGGUAGCGAACGGGAUUAGAUACCCCGGGUAGUCCUAGCUGUAAACGAUGAGCACUGGGCAGGAGAUCCCUUCCCACAGAUUUCCUGCCGUAGCGAAAGUGUUAAGUGCUCCGCCUGGGGAGUAUGGUCGCAAGGCUG